AAGCUUACAACUUUUUUUUUUUCAAUAAAAAAUUUAAAAUAUACAUGGGUUUACAAUAUAAGUAAAUGUUUACCCAUGAUCGCAAAAUUAAUAGCAAUAGUCAAGUGAUGUAUCAUGAGUCAUGACUAUUGAAAGUGCUAUUUUUAUUGAACAUGCUACUUUUUCUCUCUCACCGUGAGUAAAUUGAACUUUUGACUUCUUAUUAUAUGGUAUUUUACUGCAGAUCACAGAUACUCAAAGGUAUAUAAAAACAAUACCAUAGGUACGCUAAAGAAAGAGAUGAUCAGGUUUUUUGGUCUUAAUUGGUUUUCUUUAAAGCUAGAAUUAGGCAUAUUUUAGUCUUCUCGUGUUUAGUGCAAUGUUUCUUUUGAGAGCGAUAUUGGAUAUAUAUAGUGAAAAGAAAAAACUUAUUUCUUCUUUUGGUAAAAAAUGAUUGAAGUUUAUUUGUACAAUACCUCUAAUUUUGAAAAAUAUAUUGCAUGGACUGUUUAAGAAAGUACGAUUCUGACAAUAAUAUAAAAUUCAUAGGUAUUUUUCUAGAUGCGCAGUCUAGACCUCUCGGUUUAUCUCUUCUUAUAGCUCUGUCCAUGAUGAGCAGGUGAAGGCGAAGAUGAGCAUGAUGUUGUUUGGUUCUGGCUAGAGAAGGGCAAGCCACAUGAAUGCCCAGUAUGCACACAGUAUUUUGUGUAUUACUUUGCUAUCUACUGGAUUAUGUUGGAUGAAAGAGUUUCAUCUUUCAAGAGCAUACUUAUGUUCAACUGUCAGAAUUCAGAUCUCAUACUGAUGUUGGAGCACCUACAAUCUUUCUACUUUUUUGUACCAAGCUACCUAUGUAACUGUGUUCCACAAACAAUGUCUCUGUUUUGCCUUUCUUGCAAACUAUUCCUGUAACUUUGUUCCACAAAUGAAUGUAAUAUACUAUGAAGCAUGUCAUGUUAAUAGUUAGUUUAAUCAUCUCUCCUUUAUUUGCAUCUCUGUAGUAACUAAGGCCCGUGCCUUUCAUGGGCACAA